AUACGUAGGGGGCGAGCGUUGCUCGGAAUUACUGGGCGUAAAGGGUGUGCAGGUGGCUGAGCAAGUCAACGAUGAAAUCCCGAGGCUCAACUUCGGAAUUGUCUUUGAUACUGCUUGGCUUGAGGACAGUUGAGGAGGGCGGAAUUCCCGGUGGAGCGGUGAAAUGCGUAGAUAUCGGGAGGAACACCUGAGGCGAAGGCGGCUCUCUAAACUGCUCCUGACACUGAGACACGAAAGCUAGGGGAGCAAACGGGAUUAGAUACCCCGGUAGUCCUAGCCGUAAACUAUGGACGCUAGAUGUUCCUGCGUUUAAGCGGGAGUGUCGAAGCUAACGCGUUAAGCGUCCCGCCUGGGGAGUACGGUCGCAAGAUUGAA
rnacentral:rRNA from 1 species